rnacentral:lncRNA from 1 species
CCCUCAAACCUUCUUUCCUUUUCUUUCUUACAGCUUCCUUUUCCUACCAUCCUGGGCACCUGGCUGCCAUUUCCUAAAUGCCAGUGUGAUUAAUGAGUGCCAGAGAUAGCAGAUGGGAAGGGAAUUCUUCCCAAGACUUGUGUAAAAGGAAACAGACAUUGGAUUGUUCUAUGAUUUAUGGUAUACUUAUUUUGCUAUGUCCUAUAAACCAUUAUGAAGAACGAUACGGACCACUGUGAGGAAAGAGUGAGGCCAGUUAUAUUAACUGUUACUUAUACAAUGGAAAAAAGAAAGCAUCUUCAACAAAUGGUGUUGGCAUAACUGGAUUGGGACAUGUAGAAGACUGCAGAUAGAUCCAUAU